rnacentral:rRNA from 1 species
AGUUUGAUCCUGGCUCAGGACGAACGCUGGCGGCGUGCUUAACACAUGCAAGUCGAACGAUGAUGCCCAGCUUGCUGGGUUGAUUAGUGGCGAACGGGUGAGUAACACGUGAGUAACCUGCCCCUGACUCUGGGAUAAGCGUUGGAAACGACGUCUAAUACUGGAUAUGAUCACUGGCCGCAUGGUCUGGUGGUGGAAAGAUUUUUUGGUUGGGGAUGGACUCGCGGCCUAUCAGCUUGUUGGUGAGGUAAUGGCUCACCAAGGCGACGACGGGUAGCCGGCCUGAGAGGGUGACCGGCCACACUGGGACUGAGACACGGCCCAGACUCCUACGGGAGGCAGCAGUGGGGAAUAUUGCACAAUGGGCGAAAGCCUGAUGCAGCAACGCCGCGUGAGGGAUGACGGCCUUCGGGUUGUAAAGCACUUUUGGCAGGAAAGAAACGGCGCGUGCUAAUACCAUGCGCAACUGACGGUACCUGCAGAAUAAGCACCGGCUAACUACGUGCCAGCAGCCGCGGUAA